rnacentral:rRNA from 1 species
UACGGGGGGAGCAAGCGUUGUUCGGAUUUACUGGGCGUAAAGGGCGCGUAGGCGGCGCAACAAGUCACUUGUGAAAUCUCCGGGCUUAACCCGGAGCGGCCAAGUGAUACUGUCGUGCUAGAGUGCGGAAGGGGCUACUGGAAUUCUCGGUGUAGCGGUGAAAUGCGUAGAUAUCAAGAGGAACACCUGAGGUGAAGACGGGUUGCUGGGCUGACACUGACGCUGAGGCGCGAAAGCCAGGGGAGCAAACGGG